UACGGAGGAUCCAAGCGUUAUCCGGAUUUAUUGGGUUUAAAGGGUGCGUAGGCGGGUUAUUAAGUCAGUGGUGAAAGCCUUCAGCUUAACUGAAGAAUUGCCAUUGAUACUGAUGAUCUUGAGUACAGUUGAGGUGGGCGGAAUGUGUCAUGUAGCGGUGAAAUGCUUAGAUAUGACACAGAACACCGACUGCGAAGGCAGCUCGCUAAGCUGUAACUGACGCUGAGGCACGAAAGCGUGGGGAUCAAACAGG
rnacentral:rRNA from 1 species